UACGGGGGAUACAAGCGUUGUCCGGAAUGAUUGGGCGUAAAGGGUCCGCAGGUGGCAAUGUAAGUCUGCUGUCAAAGAAUGAGGCUUAACCUCAUCAAGGCAGUGGAAACUACAUAGCUAGAGUACGGUCGGGGUAGAAGGAAUUCCUGGUGUAGCGGUGAAAUGCGUAGAGAUCAGGAAGAACACCGGUGGCGAAAGCGUUCUGCUAGACCUGUACUGACACUGAGGGACGAAAGCUAGGGGAGCGAAUGGG
rnacentral:rRNA from 1 species